ACGGGAUUGGUGGAAUCGGUAGACACACCAGACUUAAAAUCUGUUGCUCUUAGAGCGUGCGAGUUCGAGUCUCGCAUCCCGUACCA
rnacentral:tRNA from 1 species